CAGUCGCCGCGGUAAUACGUAGGGUGCGAGCGUUAAUCGGAAUUACUGGGCGUAAAGCGAGCGCAGACGGUUACUUAAGCAGGAUGUGAAAUCCCCGGGCUCAACCUGGGAAUUGCGUUCUGAACUGGGUGGCUAGAGUGUGUCAGAGGGGGGUAGAAUUCCACGUGUGGCAGUGAAAUGCGUAGAGAUGUGGAGGAAUACCGAUGGCGAAGGCAGCCCCCUGGGAUAGCACUGACGUUCAUGCCCGAAAGCGUGGGUAGCAAACAGGAUUAGAUACCCCAGUAGUCCCUGUCUCUUAUAC
rnacentral:rRNA from 1 species